GAUGAACGCUAGCUACAGGCUUAACACAUGCAAGUCGAGGGGAAACGACAUCGAAAGCUUGCUUUUGAUGGGCGUCGACCGGCGCACGGGUGAGUAACGCGUAUCCAACCUGCCCACCACUUGGGGAUAACCUUGCGAAAGUAAGACUAAUACCCAAUGAUAUCUCUAGAAGACAUCUGAAAGGGAUUAAAGAUUUAUCGGUGAUGGAUGGGGAUGCGUCUGAUUAGCUUGUUGGCGGGGUAACGGCCCACCAAGGCUACGAUCAGUAGGGGUUCUGAGAGGAAGGUCCCCCACAUUGGAACUGAGACACGGACCAAACUCCUACGGGAGGCAGCAGUGAGGAAUAUUGGUCAAUGGACGAGAGUCUGAACCAGCCAAGUAGCGUGCAGGAUGACGGCCCUAUGGGUUGUAAACUGCUUUUAUAAGGGAAUAAAGUGAGUCUCGUGAGACUUUUUGCAUGUACCUUAUGAAUAAGGACCGGCUAAUUCCGUGCCAGCCGCCGCGGUAAAAC
rnacentral:rRNA from 1 species